AUGCUGUACUGGGGCAACAAGAGGAGCCUGCGCGCCCGGCGGCAGUUCCUCCCGGCGCUGCUGUGCGCCGCGGAGCCCCACGCGCUGGUCGUCGGCGCCGUCAGGGACUUCCUGGCCAGGACCGAGCCCAAGAGCGACAAGAACUGGGAGAACUGCGCCUCGCUCCUCUGCUGCGUCCCCAGCCUCAGGGCCGAGCCGUCGGCGGCCACGCUGGAGCGGGCCAGACGGCUGGCGGAGGACUGGAGGGAGAUGAUCGUCGGCGAGCCUGAAAGCCGCAGGGACCUCGGCCGGCUCGCCGUAUGGGGCCUUCUGCAGUUUCUUGCCUCGUACAAAAUUGCCUUGGAGCUGGACGCUGAUGGGAUCAACCAUCUCCUCGCCGACGUCCCGCGCAACAAGAAGCAGAGCUGCAUCGAGCUCCGCAAUGGCCUUGGGCUGAUCCCCACCAUGGCUGACCCGGUUGACCAUCUGACUGAGAAUGGGCAGCCAGUUGAUGCUAUCAACCAACUGAUUGAGAAUGGGAAGCUACUUGAUGCUAUCAAACUGGCGCAUGAUUUGAAUCUGACCGACAAAUAUCCUCCACUUUCCCUCAUGAAUGAUUAUGUUGAGAAGGCUAAGAAGACUGCUCAGGAGAUAUUGAGCAGGGAAGGUUCACCGGACUCUCUGAACCAGGCCAUGGCGAAGCAGGUGAACGCCCUGAUAAUGUCGUGGAGGGCGGUGGACGAGCACGUCGACGUCGCGCACCGCACCGGCAUCAAGGCAGAGAUCACCCAGCUGCUGCACGGGUACGCGCGCAAGCGGCAGAGCCUGUCGGCCGCCGGUUCUUCUUCCUCCUCCCCGCCUGCCUGGAGCCCGCAGCAGCGGCAGCAGGAGCUGCCGCCGGAAGAGGAGGGGGCCGGGCAGAAGCAGCACAAGAAGCGGAAGCGGAAGCCGCACUGGCUGCAGCGGGAGGCGAGGCAGCACCGGUUCCACGAGCAGCCCAGGUUCUUGCCCCGGUGCGUCGGAGGUGCCCGGCCGGGGUACGACGCCGGCGGGGGCCGUGAUCGUCGCGGCGAGGUGCUCCCGGGGGUCCGUGGAGGGCCUCCUCGAUGCACCGGUAGUCCGUAUUACUCUAGCUAG
rnacentral:rRNA from 1 species